UUUAAAGAUUUAUUCAGUGGCCCCUGCACUUUCUGAAUGGAAGCAGAAUACCUCACUGAAAACACCCUCACACCAAAAAAACAGUGAAUUAUUCUUUGACACACUUUCGGCAGUACUCGAGGAAAACAGAAAAAUUAGAGUAUUUUUUGCUGAAAGAUGAGUAGCGUUGUGGCUACGAUAAAUACGCAUAAAUAUCGGAAGUAUCCAUUUGUUUUUAUAAAAGAACGCAUCUUGAUCUGAAUUUGGAAUUUUUGUAAUAAGAUGGCCAAAAGUGGGAAAAGUUCUAAUAUUAAGAGUAACUAUGAAAUGGCCCCAUAAACGCAAAUUGCCUGAACUUUUCCAUAUGAUUAUUAUAGAAUUUCCCAAAUUAUUGGCUUGGUACAUAUAACGUGUACAACAUAUAUAACUCUCAAAAAAUUAACUCAUGAAAGGGGAAAAAAACCUACA